UUAACUAGAAUUGAGAGCAAAAUAGCAAGGCACUUUGGGAGCAAUUUUUGUGAGUUUCAAGAGUGCGAAGCUGCAUGAACCAGAUUGAUGAACCAGUUCCAUAUGUCUGUCUUUUAUUCUAAUUCAAUUUUCGUAGGAGCUUUUGAGUUGUACCUCUCAACUUUUCCUUAGAAGCAUCUGUACUAGGUACUUGAGUUGUAUUGUUCAAGUUAAAGUUAACUUGAAGCAGUCGCAAUAGCCUGUGGCGUGUUGCUACAAGGGUUAAAGUUAAUCAUUAGGUUUGCAAGAGUUUGUAAAUAUUAGGAAAAAUGUCUUAACACCCCCCUAAACUUGUCGCGAAUUAUUAGUUUCCUCCCUAAACUAUCUAGGGUUUGAAUUACCCCCCCCCUCCCCCCCCGGGCUGUCACAUGGCACAAGAAGUGAUCUCAAAUGGUGUUUGGCGCUGAGGGUGGAUAAAAAUGGCCACCUAAUCAGCUCUAACGUUUCCCGGUUUUCUCCAAGACAUUGAAGAUGAACCUACUUUGUAAAUUUGGGUAUCCAUCACAUUUAAAAAUCUCAUGGUCAAAUGACAACCCGGGAAGAAGAUUUUUUGGUUGUAAAAACAAGUAUAAGGUUAAAGGUCAUAACGCUUAUAAUUUUUUUUAGUGGUACAAACUGGAAUUUCCAAAACAAGCUAAUGUUGUUAUUUUGGGUUUGUUGAUGAAGAGAAAAAAACAAGAGCAAGAGCUAAAGUGGAGAAGGACAUUGAAGAUUAGUUUAUGUAUUAGUGUAGUAUGCAAUGUGAUGUUGUAUUUUGGUUGGUGUCCAAUUUAAUCUAGUUUUAAUUGGUGUCUAUGUAUUUGAUAAAUAAUAGAAUGAAUUAUAAUAUUUAGAGCAUAGGAUAUCUUAUG